GGUAAAGCGAUGAAGGGGACAGUAAGCGCCGAAAAGCCUUUUAGCGAGCCGGAGAGGGUGGAAGUCCGGCAGGCUCAAGCGUCCGAACAUCACCCCUGAGUGCGGUUGUGAAACAAUAAGGAGUAAUAACUGCCGGCAUAUGUGCCGUUAUUUAAAAUAAGAGGAAAAGAGGAAAAGCCUUUUUUCUAGUUGGGUGGUAACGCGGGAGAAAUCUCGUCCCUUUG
rnacentral:ncRNA from 1 species